rnacentral:rRNA from 1 species
AUUGACCGCUGGCGGCAGGCCUAACACAUGCAAGUCGAGCGGAGCGGCGGACGGGUGAGUAAUGCCUAGGAAUCUGCCUGUUAGUGGGGGAUAACUUCCGGAAACGGGCGCUAAUACCGCAUAAUAUCAGAUGACCCUAGGUCGGAUUAGCUUGUUGGUGGGGUAAAGGCCUACCAAGGCGACGAUCCGUACCUGGUCUGAGAGGAUGAUCAAGCACACUGGAACUGAGAAACGGUCCAGACGCCUACGGGAGGCAGCAGUGGGGAAUAUUGGACAAUGGGCGAAAGCCUGAUCCAGCCAUGCCGCGUGUGUGAAGAAGGUCUUCGGAUUGUAAAGCACUUUAAGUUGGGAGGCGUUACCAACAGAAUAAGCAACGGCUAACUUCGUGCCAGCAGCCGCGGUAAUAC